UACGUAGGGGGCAAGCGUUGUCCGGAAUUAUUGGGCGUAAAGAGCGUGUAGGCGGCUUGGUAGGUCUCGCGUCAAAACCUGAGGCUCAACCUCAGUUCGCGUGGGAAACCACCUAGCUAGAGUCCGGAAGAGGAGAACGGAAUUCCCAGUGUAGCGGUGAAAUGCGCAGAUAUUGGGAAGAACACCAGUGGCGAAGGCGGUUCUCUGGGACGGUACUGACGCUGAGACGCGAAAGCGUGGGGAGCGAACAGG
rnacentral:rRNA from 1 species